GGGUUCCAAGGAGCUGGCUGCAUCCAAACUGCAAUGAACCUAUACCAUAGGGGAUGGGCAGGCAUUGCAUGUGAUAUUACAAAGAACAGGACAGAUGGAAGAAUAACUUUAAGGGAUUCCAAUACUAGAAGGACACAGAACACAAACAUUGAACCUGCUGAGCCUGUAUGAAGCUACUAUCCCAGGACUGUGAAAAGUAGACUAGUUGAGGAAGAAUUCAAGUCGACACUGAACUAGUGGUAGAGCUCUCAUCAUACAGAUCGUUGGAAAGUAGCAUCCCGACAGUUC
rnacentral:lncRNA from 10 species